rnacentral:misc_RNA from 1 species
ACAGAGGGGAACCAACCAUGGUUGGUUUUACCCGAAAUCCUGUAUUCACCCCAAGUUCCUUUAAAACUUUUAAUAAAAACUUGCGAAAAGACCACCUCAGUUGGUGGCGCUUAAUGCAUACGA